rnacentral:lncRNA from 1 species
GAGAUCGAAACCACCACCACCGUUCCAGCCAAGGAACCAGCCCCUCCACCAUUGUUGCAACAACUCCUCACAUGGAUAGAGAUCCUAUCUUAUAUCCAUGGAUCCACGGAGCUUCUUGGCUUUUAGGUAACAUUGUUGAAACUCUUGCAUUUUGUUAUUUGUAAUUAUUGAACUACUGCUCGAACACACCUUUCUAAUGGUUUCAUUUGUAGAUAGAUGCUGCUAUAAACCCAGGAAGGUGAAUGUGUGGGCAUGGCGUUUUAGCCCCUUAAGCAGAAGUAAGAAAAUGCAAGUCCAAGUGAAGUGUAGCUCUGGAGCAGAGAAUUGUCAAGAACAGGUAGCAGUUGAAUUACAAGGCACAACUAAACUUCACCCUUCAUUUUUUCAAACCCACCUCUAAAACCUCCAAAUUGGCCAACUUUGCCUCUUCUUCCUUGGUUCACAUUCAAAAAGAAAAUUCAGCAAAGUUUGUGUCUUUUCAUUUUCUCUUGAUUUUGCAAGUAAUUUUUCUUUUUUUUUUAAUCACUUGGGAGGCUUGGGACAAACAACAAAACCCUUGGAAUCAGAAAUCAAAACCAAAACUUCUCUCAUCUCAAGCUGAAGAUUGACUUGAUUCAUCAUCAUCUUUAAAAAGAGAGGGUGAGAGAAAUUGUACAUGAAGAUUUGGGUAUGAAAAUAUGAGAUUUUUAUUCAAUUUAGCAAGCAAGAAGAUAAAGGGUGUUUGUAUUAUAUUAUAUUUAAGGGUAGAUUUAUCUUUUCAUUCAAAUUUUAAAAUUGAAUUGACUAUAAAUUAUAUUUUUUUUUUAAAUAAAAACAAAGUAAAAAAUAGCUAAACUAUCAAAGGAUAAGAGUAAUUUUCCAGAAGCUUUGAACUUCUAGUUGGGUUUAUAAUAACAAUGAAAUUUUGCAUGCGAUGAUAUGUAUGAUAUAGUUGAAAAAAUAUAGUUCAAGGGCACGAUUGAUUAGAUUAAUAGUACAGAUUUUAAAGUGUCACAACGCAAAAAGGUCAAGGAAAAAACUUGAUUAAAUUGAUGGUAUAGACUUAUCAUAAUACUAGAAAAAUGCCAUUAAACCCAUAAAAAAAAAAUAGUGGCACUAUAAUUGGCUUUGUUAUACAAGGUUUUUUUUUUUUUUGUGCAUUUUCUAAUCAUAUGUUUUUAGGCAUGCAAUAAAUCAAUUCAAUUGCAGGAGAUCUUCUGCAUCACAAGAAGAGCCAGGAUUCAACAUUCAUGCAAAAUUAAAUCACUAAAUAUUUGAGGUCUUCUGAACACUUACAAAAUGGAAGGCCUGGUUUGAUUUGAGCUGGGUCUAGGUUCAAAACCAGUCCUCGUUGAAUGCCAUUGAAAUUUGAAUGAAAGAAGAAAGUGCCUCAGCUGGCGGAACAAAAAAGCGCCGCCAUGAGCCCUUUUGCUCCACCUCACAUUUAUAUACAAAAGUCAAAACUUUCGGUGAAUGUUUUGAUUUGCAGCUAGAGCAUUGAAUUCAAUCUUUCAACAAUGGAGAAUAUCAGCAGAGCAGACUCAUGAAUGGAAAGGAGCAGCCAUGGGGUAGUUUCCCACGUUCGCUGACACCACACCAAUAUUUAUCAAAUUUGACUGCUCUUACCUCAAUGGCACCAUUACUGCCCUGUACGUUUCUUUACCGACUCUAAAGUUUCUAUUUGUAUGCUUGGAAAUUAAAUCUUUCCUUAUGCUUGCUUAUUAU